rnacentral:rRNA from 1 species
UACGUAGGGUGCGAGCGUUAAUCGGAAUUACUGGGCGUAAAGCGUGCGCAGGCGGUUUUGUAAGCCAGAUGUGAAAGCCCCGGGCUCAACCUGGGAAUGGCAUUUGGGACUGCAAGGCUUGAGUGCGGCAGAGGAGACUGGAAUUCCUGGUGUAGCAGUGAAAUGCGUAGAUAUCAGGAGGAAUACCGAUGGCGAAGGCAGGUCUCUGGGCUGACACGUGACGCUCAUGCACGAAAGCGU